rnacentral:rRNA from 1 species
ACUUGGAGAAGUGGCAAGUCUUCCAGUAUGGGGAGCAAAACAGCUAUGGGUCAAGUCUGAUAUCUUUAGGAGGGGCGAAGCUCCUCUUAUUGUGAGGGCGAGUUAUAUAACACCAUAGGACUGGCCGUCCCAUAUGAAAAGAUUAUAUUAGAAUUGAAUGAAGCUUUGUUUAUAUAUUGAUAAUGACAGUAUAUAUAUCGUGUCUUGACUAAUUGCGUGCCAGCAGUCGCGGUAAUACGUAAGAGACUAGUGUUAUUCAUCUUAAUUAGGUUUAAAGGGUACCCAGACGGUCAAUAUAGCUUAUAAAAUGUUAGUACUUGACUAGAGUUUUAUGUAAGAGGGCAGUACUUGAGGAGGAGAGAUGAAAUUUCGUGAUACCAAAGGGACUCUGUAAAGGCGAAGGCAGCCCUCUAUGUAAAAACUGACGUUGAAGGACGAAGGCACAGAGAACAAACAGGAUUAGAUACCCAAGUAGUCUUUGCAGUAAAUGAUGAAUGCCAUA